ACUCCACGCGUCCUAUGGAAUCUGCCGUCGCAAACUUAUCUCCACAUUUUCUCAUCACAUAACAAUCCAAUCUCCCCUAAGACACGCCGCCGCUGCCGCCAGGAUCCUCCCCCUGCGCAUCUCCCGCACACCCCAUCACCUCUGCAUGCCGGCGGAUCUCGCGCUCCACCGGCGGCCGCCGUCGCUCCAGCACCGACGGGCACUCUCGGCCCUUUUUUUCUUCUGGUUUUUCAGAUCAGAUCGGCUCUGUCACUCCUCCCGCUCGAGGCCGCCGUCGCAAGCUCGAGCACCACCUUCGCUGCCCCCUCCCCCUCCAAAUCAGACACGGGUCGGUCUCGCGCGCGAGCACGGCGUCGCCCACGGCCCGCAGCCCCGGAGCAACAUGUCGACGCUCGCACUUCGCAGGAACCAGGAGCCCCACGACUGCUUCCCUUUCUUUAGCUCGCUGCCGAGCGUCUCCGGCCAAGCCGCGCGCCGAGAGACGGCCAUGGCCGCCCGAUGCCCGAGCGCCACCGGCCAAGGACCCGCCGGCGUCCAGACCCCCUCCACGCCAUCCCCAUCUCGCUGGAGACCUGCACCAAAUCCCAUCCAGCACCGCGCCACCCUUCGGUCCCCGCCCCGCAGUUCUGCAGCCUGAGCGCUUCAGCCGCCUCGCGCUCGAAGCAGAGGAGAGGAGCUCCCUGCCACGAGCCUCUUCAGCACCGGCAAACCAGUAGGCCGACCCCUUCCUUGGCUCCUGCGGCGUGGAUGCCGGCGGCAAGUGGCCGCCCAUGCCCGGCGGUGGAGAACGCAAAUGGACAAGCGGCGGUGGUGCCCGGUGGUGAAGCAGUUUAAUUAAGGAGCGUGGGUACAAUUGUAACUAAUGCACGGGUGUUUUUGCAAACAGCAAACUGUUUUUUAAUACCCACUUAAAACAGGACCGCGGGUUGAAUUCUCAAAAUCGGAGGGGCCUUUCUGUAAAAUUGCCACGACGUACGACCAGAAGCACUCCGUGCUUUAUUAGUAGGGAAAGAGGUAAAGAUUGAAAUAUCUAAAAAAGAUUUAUACUUCGUAUUUAGGAACCAAGGAAGUGCAGUUGUGACUCUCAGUCUCACUCUCUCCUCACCGCUCUCACUUUCUCCUCACCGCUUAGCCCUUUUCCCUUCAUGCUACGAAUACUUUUCACUUUCCAGAAAUACCCUCCCACCACCGCUCUCACACACUCGAGCUCACACUCUUGUCCCCCUCUCACCCACCCCUUCUCGCUCCCCUCCAGAUCCCCACUGUCGUCGGCCUCUCCUCGCCGCCGUCACCGGCCUCUCCUCGACUCCCUUUCUCUCCACCACCAUGCACCCCGUUUCCUCCCACCGCGCACCCCGCACCGUAGGUCAAAAGCUUGAUUUUUUAGGCGCCAGCGACAAGCUUCUGGGCGGCGGGGGCUAGAUCCGCGUGCGUCCAUGCCGGCUUCGCAGCGGUGCUUGAUGUGGAGUGGCGCUGGAGCAGCGGAGCGGGGCUUUCUUCCUCACCUCACAGUGCCGUCCUCCUCCACGACCAUGCAACCGCAACAGCGGAGGAGCCGAAUCCCUAGCCAGCGAGCUCAGGUAGCCAUGGGUCCAUGGGGCGACGCCAUGGAAGGGCCACCAACUACACCAGCGAGGAGAGGAGAAAGAGAGUAGCCUGAUGGUCGUCUUCCACCUCCGCCUAUGCCCCCACCCUCCACCUCCACCUACGCCCCCGCCGGAGAUAGUACAAUGGCCAAGGAAAUAGGCAGGAGGCGCUGCUUCCCGGAUGGACAUGGACAUGCUUCUCCAACUCUGCUUCUUCCUGGGUCGCCAUGGAAGCUUAAACAAGUAUAGGACGGGUAGAUGUCGCGGGCUGGAUUUUGUGCGGGCAUGUGGGACACUGCGCGAUGGCUGUCAUACGAGGCGGGGGAUCGAAUGAGGUGGUCGAACCACGAGUGGAGAAAGUAGUAAGAAUCUAAGAAAGCCGAAGCCUUCCAGCACACUGCAACAAUAGGAAGAGCACAAGUCGAACAGGGACACAACUCACACACUACGGUGGACAGAAAGGUAACUACAUUGCUGAAAUAGUUGAUGAUGGCAAACCUAGGGCAUGAUGGGCACCGUUGAAUAUAACAAAGGUGGAUCUCCAUCCUUUGUAGCAACAGCCAUCGCCUCGCAACAGGAUCUUCGUCCUUUGCAGCAACAGCCGUCGCCUCGCAACAGCCAUCGAGCGAAGGUUAUGUUUCGGACGCCGAGGUUGCGGUGUAGUUGUGAUGAUCACACAACUGGGUCGAUGGAGCUCGUACGCGAGGAAGAACUGGCAUUUAUGUCCUUGGUGGCAACGUGCGUUGGCGGGUCGAUGGAGCUUGUUCGAUGGUUUGAUUUUUGGUAGAUGGACCUCGUUCGUGGGUUGCCGAACUGUUUUGUUUGUUGGCUAGGUGUGUGAUAGUGGGGUUUGGCUCGUUUGACUGGUGGUCCAUGGGCCGAAUAUCGAAUGAGUUGGCCUUGGUUUUU